rnacentral:lncRNA from 12 species
GAUCUAGUUUUCACAGUGGAGGGCUGGCCAAACUCUGCAGAGGCCUGUGCCAUGAACUUCAAUCUUCUCUGGAUCUGUCUACAAUAUCCUUAAACCCAAAUCCACACAAGCACUUAGUGGAACACUUAGGAAACUGAGAAAGCACUACUUCCAGGCCACAGAUCCUGUUUGUGCUGGAUUCUGCAUUAACAAGCGUGUAACAAACCUGAGUGCUUGACCUGAGGAAUCACACUGCUCUGCCUUGUGGAAGGAUUUCUACUGGAAGGCAACAGAAUCUCCAUCAAGAGCUCAUGACCUGCAUGUGCAGGUGUCUGACAGCAGCCGUGAUUGCCAAACAAACUGGAGAAGAGAUGAAGACAUGACUUGUGCUGAGGAUGUGAAAUGGGGAGCAGAAAGAAUGAAACCAGUUUGGCACAUGUUGCACAUCUUCCACUUAUUAAUUAUGCUCUCCAGGCACUCAAAUGAAAAGCAGAAAGGUAAUUAAGUGAUCUGUGCAUAGAUGCUGCUGCCAUCUCCAG